AGAGUUUGAUCAUGGCUCAGGACGAACGCUGGCGGCGUGCUUAACACAUGCAAGUCAAGGGGGCCCAGCAAUGGGCAACCGGCGAACGGGUGCGUAACACGUGAGCAACCUUCCGAAAUAUGGGGGAUAGCCGGCCUAACGGCCGAGUAAUACCGCAUACGCUCUCGAUGAGGCAUUUCAUUGAGAGGAAACCUCCGGGGUAUUUCGAGGGGCUCGCGGCCUAUCAGCUAGUUGGCGAGGUAACGGCUCACCAAGGCAACGACGGGUAGCUGGUCUGAGAGGAUGGCCAGCCACAUUGGGACUGAGAUACGGCCCAGACUCCUACGGGAGGCAGCAGUGGGGAAUCUUGCGCAAUGGCCUAACGGCUGACGCAGCGACGCCGCGUGUGGGAUGAAGCUCUUCGGAGUGUAAACCACUGUUGCCCGGGACGAAUAGCUCGAUUAAUCGAGCCUGACAGUACCGGGUGAGGAAGCACCGGCUAACUCCGUGCCAGCAGCCGCGGUAAUACGGGGGGUGCGAGCGUUGUCCGGAAUCACUGGGCGUAAAGGGCGCGUAGGUGGUUUGAUAAGGGUGUGGUGAAAGUCCGGGGCUCAACCCCGGAUCUGCCGUGCCGACUGUCAAACUCGAGGACUGUAGAGGCAGACGGAAUUCCGGGUGUAGCGGUGGAAUGCGUAGAGAUCCGGAGGAAGACCGGUGGCGAAGGCGGUCUGCUGGGCAGUUUCUGACACUGAGGCGCGACAGCGUGGGGAGCAAACAGGAUUAGAUACCCUGGUAGUCCACGCCGUAAACGAUGGGUACUAGGUGCCUGGGGGAGCGACCCUCUGGGUGCCGGCGCUAACGCAGGAAGUACCCCGCCUGGGGAGUACGACCGCAAGGUUGAAACUCAAAGGAAUUGACGG
rnacentral:rRNA from 1 species